rnacentral:lncRNA from 1 species
GGUGAUGGUGAUAACCUGAGAUAGCAUGGGUGUUUAAAGCUGUGUACCGGGGUGGGGAUAAGAUUUACAACGCCUAGUAUUGAGUAGGAUGUGGUAUUAUGAUAAGGUUUGUUGUGGCCGGACGUCAUUCAUGUGUAGAUGAUAGAAACGCACAAGCAAUUCAGCGGCUCUUCACAUAUUCGUAAUCAUUUUUAUUUUGGUCUGCUUUUAAAUGACUUUUUUUCUUUGUUUCUAGUUUCCUUUCGUAUAAUGCAAUAGCUAUUUCGUUGACAUUUGAGGUGACCGACUCGUUUUGAAAUUUCAGUUGGCGCACAAGUCACCGUGCAGUGAUUUGAACAGGAGCAACUAAACUUACAA